CCUACGGGAGGCAGCAGUGGGGAAUAUUGCGCAAUGGGCGAAAGCCUGACGCAGCGACGCCGCGUGAGGGAUGAAGGUCUUCGGAUCGUAAACCUCUGUCAGCAGGGAAGAACGGUCACUGUGCUAAUCAGCAGUGAAUUGACGGUACCUGCAAAGGAAGCACCGGCUACCUCCGUGCCAGCCGCCGCGGUAAUACGGAGGGUGCGGGCGUUAAUCGGAAUUACUGGGCGUAAAGCGCUCGUAGGCGGUAUGUCAAGUCAAUGGUGAAAUCCCCGCGCUCAACGUGGGAACUGCCUUUGAAACUGGCAAACUGGAGUGUGUGAGAGGAUAGUGGAAUUCCAGGUGUAGGAGUGAAAUCCGUAGAUAUCUGGAGGAACAUCAGUGGCGAAGGCGACUAUCUGGCACAUAACUGACGCUGAGGAGCGAAAGCGUGGGUAGCAAACAGGAUUAGAUACCCCUGUAGUC
rnacentral:rRNA from 1 species